rnacentral:rRNA from 1 species
AGGGUGUAAACGCUGCGGGCUUGGUGUUGGGGGUCCUUUGAGGGCGCCCAGUGCCGGAGAGAAGUUGUUAAGCCUGCUGCUUGGGGAGUACAUCCGCAAGGACGAAACUUAAAGGAAUUGGCGGGGGAGCACAACAACGGGUGGAGCUUGCGGUUUAAUUGGAUUCAACGCCGGAAAUCUUACCGGGACCGACAGCAACAUGAAGGCCAGGCUGAAGACUUUGCCGGAUUAGCUGAGAGGAGGUGCAUGGCGUCAGUG